rnacentral:lncRNA from 10 species
GGCCUGGGUCCUAGAAAGCUUAGGAUCCUAUGCAAAACCCUACUCUAACUCAUUUCAAGUGUCUGGAAAUGUAGUACAUGCCGUGGAUGUACGUCAGGCUUUCAUAGUACUUUUCUGACCACGGUUUUCUGGAGUUUUUUCGUAUGGAGUUUGUAAGCUUCCUGACAUGGAUUAUAACUGUACUUGAUGGAGCACAGUUAUAAUAGCUGCUUUAGAGUCCUUGAUAAUUCCCACAUCUGAGUCAUCUCAAGUUAUUUUUGGCAGAUUUUGAUGGAUGUACAUUGAUGGAUAGCCACGUGGAUCCAGAAAAUAAAGACGGCGUCUCGCUGUGUUACCCAGGCUGGAGUGCAGUGGCGCGAUCUCAGCUCACUGCAACCUCACCUCCCGGGUUCAAGUGAUUCCUCUGCCUCAGCCUCCGGAGUAGCUGGGACUACAGGUGCGUGCCACCAUGCCUGGCUCAUUUUUUUUGUAUUUUAGUAGAGACGGGGUUUCACCAUGUUGGCCAGGAUGGCCUCGAUUUCCUGACCUUGUGAUCCGCCCGCCUCGGCCUUCCAAAGCGCUGGGAUUACAGUCAUGAGCCACCGUGCCCGGCCAAAUGUAUCUAUUUUUUAAUAGUUUGUACUUGUUGUUCUCUAUUUAAGAAAUGUUGUUUGCCUAUCUGAAAACCAAAAAAACAAACAAACAAACAAAAAAAAA